AGGUUAAUUAGGUAAACAGAAAUUAAGUCUAAAACUUAUCUAAAUAGGAAAUAGAAUCAGAAAACUAAAGGGAAUUAGGCUAGGAGGUGCGGCUAGGGUUUAAAACCAAAGGGGAAUGUGUUUUAAUUGCAAAGAAACAGGAAAGGACCCUCUCCCUUGCACGGCAAGGAAGAGGAAGGCAAGGGUGGUGCGGCUGGAUGUUUGGGAAAGGGAUAGUGUCCUAAAAAGAAAGGGAAAGGGGACUCACGGCAAGGAAAGGGAAGGAAAGGGUAUGUGAGGUGCGGCACUACCUUGAAUGGUGCAAGGAAUCUUUGUUUUAUGUCCUCAAUUGCAUAUGUAGUCCUCAAAGUGGCUGGAACAUGAGUACUUUUAGAAUUAGGAAAGGUCAAACCAAAAUAGGAAACCUUGGCUUAACUUUCCUACUUCAAGUAGGAAUCCUUGUUGGAGUAGGAAUCCUUGUUCUUCUAGGAAUCCUCAUGUGAUUAGGAAUCCAUCUUCAAUUAGGAAUCCUUCGUUGAUUAGGAAUCCUUCGUCGAUUAGGAAUCCUUCGUCGAUUAGGAAUCCUAAUUUCUUCAAGUCUUCAAUUCAUCCAUUCCUUUUGCUCCAAAAGGCUCCAAAUUACAUCAUUUUGCACACUUCGGCUUUGGAAUUUGAAAACACACAAAAGUGACUUUAAACACUAAAAUAACUAAGGAAACACAACGUAAAUGCACGAGAACAAGCCAAGUAAGUCACAUAAUAUGCUCCUAUCAUUGCCCAUGUGGACUGUUGGAAAUGUGCCCUAAAACCAAUCAUAUGAUGAUACUUUACGGACAUUUCACAUGUUAAACUAAUCUAGUUUAAUAUCAAGGGCAUAGAUUAUUGUUUUAAGUCGUCUCAUAUAAAUGUUAUAUGCUUAAACGAUAAGUCCAAGGAAUAUGUGAUUGGGAGAAUACGAUCUAAAGAAGUUAGAUUCAUGAGACCAUUCUUUCGUAGACACAUCCUAAACGUUCCUGAUCAUAGGAUUACCAAUUGGGCAUUGACAGUCCGUUAAGAUCAGUACGUGUUGUGUCUUCUCUCAGGGAGAGUGACUAGUCUC
rnacentral:lncRNA from 1 species